rnacentral:lncRNA from 1 species
AUAUAAUGAAAAUAUAUUAUAUUUUUAAUUACAUUAAUAACUCUUGUAGGAACAGUGAGCAUGAAACAAAAAUAAUAGGAAGAUAUUGGGAGGCUUGCAUAAGACAGGGAGAACUUCAUUUUCUAUUAUUAGAGUAAAUGUAUAUUUAGAAUAUUACAAGUUUAUAUUAAAUAUAACUCUAAUGUAAAUUUUUAUAUAUAUCUGGGUUAUUUAUGUUAAUAGAUGGAAGCAGAAGGAUUAGAAAC